rfam:Hydrogenophaga sp. LPB0072, complete genome.
GAAGCGCGCCAGGCCGUCGCUGGUGCAAUCGCCGAAAGGCCGCACUGGAGGAACGUCCGGACUGCACAGGACAGCGUAGGAGGUAACACCUCUCCACCGACAAGCUUGAUGGGUUCGCCCAAAGGGCCCUAAGGUGAGGAUCAGAGCAACAGAGACGAGCCGAUUCAGUUCGGGUGAAACGGGCAAUCUCUACGCGCAGCAAUACCAAAUAGGCCAGCGUUGACGUGGUUCCGCGGAGCUGGCGGGUAGGUAGCACCGAGCCGGGUGGGUGACCCCCGGCCCAGAUGAAUGACGGUCACGUUCGGGGCCCUUGCAAAAGGGUUCUGAACGCACAAAAUCCGGCGUAUCGGCGCGCUUCACAC